AGUCAACUUUGGAGGGGUAUAUCUCUAUGCAUAUUUGGAGUUUUAAGGCGUUUCAAAAGCCUAAAAUGAAGUUCGUCAAGUCUAGUUUAUGAUUCAACAAACCACUCAUCGAUAGGACGUCGGAGUAGAGAAUUAUAGACGCUACAAACUGAACUGUCGCGCAGAAACAGCACUGCUACAGUACGCUACAGCACUGCUACAGUACUGUAGCUACAGUGACGCCGUUUCAGCCCUUAUAAAAAGGGGCAAAACCCCAUUUUUAUCAUCUAAAAACUUCUCAAAUUUUCCAGAAAAUUCAGCAACAAAAAGGGGCCUAAAUCUCACAUAAAAGUGAGGAUUGUGAGUGAAAUUUCAAGCUACGAAGUACUAAUCGAAGUCCGGGCAACGCAUAAUCACGAAUAUAAUUUUGUUUGGAGUUAGAGGAGCAUGGGAACAAUAAGAUGUUGAAGGAUUUGCUACUUUCAUAAAAACAAGGUUUUGGACGAAACGGGAUUUGAGUUUUGGCAAGCGUAAAGGGCAAGAAAGGUACAGACUACAGAUUUGCUGACCCACCUGCCUAGGACACCUAUUCUGCUAUUCUGGAGCGCUCUUUUGUCCAGAGCCUAUACUCUGGUACAGUCUGCUGCUGUUGGAUAUAUGUGCGCUAUUCAUGGGUACGACGGGGCCCUGUCCUGUCUUAUGUUUCUGUUAUGUUCUGUAGAGGUCUGUAGACAUACAUGUGGGUUCUGUAUAUGUUUUGGGUUGCUAUGAUUUGUGAUAGCCUUAUCGGCUUCCAUGUGUUAUAUAUGUUCCUCUAUGACACUAGUAAUGUCGACUGACUUUUAUAUUUAUAUAAUCUGCUAGUCUGCUGGUUUGGAUUA